UACGUAGGGUGCAAGCGUUGUCCGGAAUUAUUGGGCGUAAAGAGCUCGUAGGCGGUUUGUUGCGUCGGCUGUGAAAACCUGGGGCUUAACUCCGGGCCUGCAGCUGAUACGGGCAGACUAGAGUUCGGCAGGGGAGACUGGAAUUCCUGGUGUAGCGGUGAAAUGCGCAGAUAUCAGGAGGAACACCGAUGGCGAAGGCAGGUCUCUGGGCAUUAACUGACGCUGAGGAGCGAAAGCAUGGGGAGCGAACAGG
rnacentral:rRNA from 1 species